rnacentral:rRNA from 1 species
GUGGGGAAUCUUCCGCAAUGGACGAAAGUCUGACGGAGCGACGCCGCGUGAGUGAAGAAGGCCUUCGGGUCGUAAAGCUCUGUCAUCAGGGACGAACGGCCGGUGGAGUGGAAAGCCACCGGAUUGACGGUACCUGAGAAGGAAGCCACGGCUAACUACGUGCCAGCAGCCGCGGUAAUACGUAGGUGGCAAGCGUUGUCCGGAAUUAUUGGGCGUAAAGCGCGCGCAGGUGGGAUCUUAAGUCCAUUUUGAAAGUUCGGAGCUCAACUCCGUGAUGGGAUGGAAACUGGGAUUCUUGAGUACCGGAGAGGAAAGCGGAAUUCCCCGUGUAGCGGUGAAAUGCGUAGAUAUGGGGAGGAACACCAGUGGCGAAGGCGGCUUUCUGGACGGUGUCUGACACUGAGGCGCGAAAGCCAGGGGAGCGAACGGGAUUAGAAACCCGUGUAGUCC